rnacentral:rRNA from 1 species
UCUUGAUUAUGGCUCAGGAUUGAACGCUGGCGCGGGAUGCUUUACACAUGCAAGUCGUGAACGGCAGCACGGACUUCGGUCUGGUGGCGAGUGGCGAACGGGUGAGUAAUGUAUCGGAACGUGCCUAGUAGCGGGGAUAACUACGCGAAAGCGUAGCUAAUACCGCAUAAUGCCCUUCGGGGAAAGCGGGGGACCUUCGGGCCUCGCACUAUUAGAGCGGCCGAUAUCGAUUAGUUAGUUGGUGGGGUAACGGCUCACCAAGGCGACGAUCCGUAGCUGGUUUGAGAGGACGACCAGCCACACUGGGACUGAGACACGGCCCAGACUCCUACGGGAGGCAGCAGUGGGGAAUUUUGGACAAUGGGGGAAACCCUGAUCCAGCCAUCCCGCGCAGUGAUGGAAGGCCUUCGGGUUGUAAAGCACCUCGGCAGUGAGAAGAAACGGCACGGAUGGACCCGUGCAACUGAUCGGUACCUGCAGAAUAAGCACCGGCUAAUCCACAUGCGCCAGCAGCCGCGGUAAUACGUAGGCGCAAGCGUUAAUCGGAAUUUUAUUGGGCGUAAAGCGUGCGCAGGCAGGUUCGGAAAGAAAGAUGUGAAAUCCCAGAGCCGCUUAACUUUGGAACCGCAUUUUUAACUACCGAGCUAGAGUGUGUCAGAGGGAGGUGGAAUUCCGCGUGUAGCAGUGAAAUGCGUAGAUAUGCGGAGGAACACCGAUGGCGAAGGCAGCCUCCUGAUAACACUGACGCUCAUGCACGAAAGCGUGGGGAGCAAACAGGAUGAUACCUCUGGUAGUCCACGCCCUAAACGAUGUCAACUAGCUGUUGGGGCCUUCGCCUCGGCAGCGCAGCUAACGCGUGAAGUUGACCGCCUGGGGAGCACGGUCGCAAGAUUAAAACUCAAAGGAAUUGACGGGGACCUGCACAAGCGGUGGAUGCAUGGAUUAAUCUGGAUGCAAUGCGAAAAACCUUACCUACCCUUGACAUGUUCGGAAUCCCGAAGGAUUUUUGGGAGUGCUCGCAAGAGAACCGGAACACAGGUGCUGCAUGCCGCCGCCUGUGUCGUGAGAUGGGCGGGUUAAGUCCUGCAACGAGCGCAACCCUUGUCAUUAGUUGCUACGAAAGGUACCAAUGAGACUGCCGGUGACAAACCUUGGAGGAAGGUGGGGAUGACGUCAAGUCCUCAUGGCCCUUAUGGGUAGGGCUUCACACGUCAUACAAUGGUUUUACCAGAGUGGUCGCCAACCCGCGAGGGGGAGCCAAUCCCAGAAACCUGAUCGUAGUCCGGAUCGCAGUCUGCAACUCGACUGCGUGAAGCUCAAAUCGCUAGUAAUCGCGGAUCAGCAUGUCGCGGUGAAUGAUGUUCCCGGGUCUUUGUACACCGCCCGUCACACCAUGGGAGUGGGUUUUACCAGAAGUAGUUAGCCUAACCGUAAGGAGGGCGAUUACCACGGUAGGAUUCAUGACUGGGGCAAGUCGUACUGCUGCAG